AGCAGUAGCCGCGGGAAUACGUAGGUGGCGAGCGUUGUCCGGAAUCAUUGGGCGUAAAGGGAGCGCAGGCGGGCAUGUAAGCCUUUCUUAAAAGUUCGGGGCUCAACCCCGUGAUGGGAAAGAAACUACAUGUCUUGAGUACAGGAGAGGAAAGCGGAAUUCCCAGUGUAGCGGUGAAAUGCGUAGAUAUUGGGAGGAACACCGGCGGCGAAGGCGACUUUCUGGACGAAAACUGACGCUGAGGCGCGAAAGCCAGGGGAGCGAACGGGAUUAGAUACCCCAGUAGUCCCUGUCUCUUAUACA
rnacentral:rRNA from 1 species